AAAAUAUAUAAAAUUAAACUGGUUUGAAUAUUUUUUAGGUAAUAAUAAUCGGGUUUGAGACGGACUCAAAUAGUUAAGAAUAAAUUUCAAUCAGAUUUGGGUCGAAUUCGGGCUUUGAAAAUAUUAAUCAGAUUCAAGUUGGGUAAUUUUUGCAAGUACUCUACCUGUUAUCAUCCCUACUCUCGUCGUUCCCUUGGUAGACCUACUCUUCUUGACUGACCUGCUACCAUGAUUGGAGCACCUAGUGCUGCGUCUAGAAUCGACCAUAGCUGGAGGGAAAAGGCAAUAAUGAUUUAAUUUAAGUCAAUGAUGCAAGUUCCAAACCAUUUCUAGGCCAACGUAAUGGCCAAGAAAGUUCCUAAAAUUACAGUUCCAGUGAGGAUAACUCUAUCAACCCUAGCAGCAAUGAUGUUAUCACUUGGUGGAGGUUAAGGAGCAAGAGUCUGUGAUGGAGUGAAGGGGUUGACGAUGCAGGGGAAGUUGGAGCUAGAGAUGG
rnacentral:misc_RNA from 1 species